UCAAAGAAUGGUGGGUUCCAAUAGAAGCCGAAGAGAUGGAAUUGAAGGAGUUAAUGCUACAGGCCUCGAAAACGAAGGAAUGGGUUGUGCGCUGCAGGUUUUUUCGGACGAAGGAUUUAUUGAGGAACCCAAUUCACUACGCAACGUGUUGAGUGUUCCUGUAGUAGGGGAGACAAAUGCUACGUUACUUGUCCAUGUUUUUACAGAUUUAAACAAUAAGGGCCUUGGGUUGGGUAUGGAGCAGAUUAAUAGAUUGGAGACCCAAUGUGCAGAUGUCUUUGGAGCGAGCCUGGGAUCAAAUGAAGAGGCAGAGAAUUAAUGUUUGGGGGCCGAUGCAGAUAGGUAUAAUGAAAUUGAAUUAAUGAGUGCAGAUUUCGAAGUAAGCCCAAAGUUAAAACAAAAUCAGGCUAUCUAUCUAAUCCAGAGAGCCAUAGGGAUCGGGUUUCUACAUCAGAGAUUGAAAAAGGAUAUUUUCCAAAUUAGGCAGAGUAAAAGAAAGAAGAAAGCUCUAAACAAGAAAAUUAGAUCUAUGCGCAAGAUUCAAGAUACAACACUCACAACGAAGGAGAAGAAGAAGAGAGACAGAGGGCUAAGAAAACAGAACGGAAAGGGGAUUUUGAGAAUCAACGACAGUAUUGCAAAUUUAUCACUUUCGGAUUCCGAUAUCAGCAAUAGCAGAAGAGUUCUCCUCAGAGAAGCGAAAAAGACGUAGGAGGUAGGGAGCACUCUAGGCUGGGGGUUGAUAGAGUUCGAGAUAUUGGUAUGUGUUUGUUUUCGUGUUGUUAUCUUUUGAUUAUUCUAUAUUGUUAAGGAGUAUGAGAAUUAUUACGUGGAACAUUAGAGGGUUGGGUUCAGCUCCCAAAAUUGAGGCUUUCAAGAGUGUAGUGAGAAUGAAUAGAGCCAAUGUUUGUUUAAUUCAAGAAAGUAAAUUAGAAUCGGUGUUAAUGGAGUUAGUUAGAAAAUUUUGGGGUGAUGAUUGCUUUGAUUUAAAAAACGCAGCUGCUGUAGAAAGGUCAGGGGGUUUAUUAACAAUCUGGGAUAAGGGUCGUUUCUCAGCAAAAGUUGAUUUGUAUGAGAGGAGGAUCAUUGUAGUAGCAAGAAAAUGGGUGGUCGAAGAGAAUGAGAUGACUCUGAUUAAUGUUUAUGCUUCGAACAGCCUUGCAGAAUAAAAAAUGAUGUGGGAAGAAAUUUCUGGUUUGAGAAAUCAAUUUUGUAAAGCAUGGAUCAUUGGUGGAGAUUUUAAUGUGGUGAGAAACUGUAGCGAACGCACAAAUUGCUCGAGCACAGAAAAGGAGUCAAAGGAGUGUGGCAAGUUCAUAGAAAGUUGUAAGUUAGUCAACUUACCAUUAAUAGGAAAAAAUUUCACCUGGUUUGGCUCGGAUAGUAAAAGUAGCUAACUUGAUAGAUUUUUAAUAAAAGAAGACUGGGUGGUUCAGUUUAAGGAUUUACAACAGCAGGGACUUAACAGAUCUGUAUUUGAUCAUAUUCCAGUGAUGUUGGUGAAUGAAUCUGUAGACUGGGGACCUCGACCUUUUAAGUUUGUCAAUGCUUGGUUUAAAAAGGAUGGAUGUAUGAAGUUGAUUGAAAAGGAAUGGUCGGGAAUGGAUGGUCUGUGAGGUAAAACGGCUGCCAAAUUGAGAAAAUUAAAGUGAGCUCUUAAGAAGUGGAAUGCUGAUGAUGGAAAUAUUCUGGAAAAAAGAAUCGUCGGAAGCGAGGCUAGGAUUAAGGAGAUUGAUGAUGUAAGCAAAAAAAAGGAAGCUAGCCGAAGUGGAGAUUGAGGAGUUAAAACAGUUGAACAUUGAGAUUUGGGAAACAAUAAAAAUAAGAAUCAAUUUGGGACAAAAAUCGAGGAUGACUUGGUUAAAAGGAGGGGAUACUAAUAGUGUUUUUUUCCACAGGUCGGUGAAAAUCAAAGCUAAAAGAAAAUUGGUGUUUAAUUUAAAAAUUGGGGGCCAGAAUAUUAAGGACCCUAAGGAAAUAAAAGAGGGGCUAUUCAAUUAUUUUAAUAAUUAUUUUGACAGCUCUGCAAGAAGGUGGAAAAUGGGGUUAGAUUUGAAAUUCAGAUUGCUUAAUGAAGAAAGAGCUAUGAAAUUGGAAGAACCCUUUUUUUUAUGGAAGAAAUCAAAGAAGCUGUGUGGAGUUGUGAUGAAUCGAAAGCGUCUAGGCCAGAAGGGUUUAAUUUGUGUUUUUUUAUAAAGUGUUGGGAGAUCAUGAAGCAUGAUUUAUUUGAGGUGAUGUCUGAUUUUUUCACAUCCAGGAAACUUGAGAAGAGCAUUAAUUCUUAAUUUAGCACUCUUAUCCCAAAGGUGGAAAAUCCUACUGAAAUUUCAGAGUUUAGGCCAAUUUGCUUGGUGAGCUCUCUUUACAAGAUUGUGUCCAAGGUUUUGUCACUAAGAUUAAGGGAGCUUGUAGAGGAGGUGGUUAGUGAUACACAAAGUGCCUUCAUUAAGGGUAGACAAAUAUUUGAUGGGGUUUUAAUUGCAAAUGAAUUAAUCCAUUCGGUUUUGAAGAAAGGUGGUUCUGGGGGUAAGUUGAUUUUUAAAUUAGAUUUUUCUAAAGCUUACGACUGCGUUAGAUGGGAUUUUCUGCAGUUGGUGUUAUCUAAAAUGGGGUUUGGGGAAAAGUGGAGAGGUUGGUUGUUGGAAUGUUUAUCUACGGCAAGAGCUGCAGUUAUCAUUAAUGGUUCUUCAUCCAAUGAAUUCAGAUUUCAUAGAGGACUUCGACAGAGAGACCCACUAUCUCCAUUUUUAUUCAUUUUAGUGACAGAGGUUUUCCAUUUGGCGUUGGACAAAGCUGCGGAGUUGGGAUUGAUCGAGGGCUUUAAUAAUGUUAUUCUUGGUAUGCGCUUUUUUCAUCUUUAAUUUGCGGAUGAUACUAUUCUUUUCCUAAAAGCUAACGAAAAUGAGGUGACCAAUGUGAAGUAUACUCUAAACGUUUUUGAGAUUUUUUCGAGGUUGAGCAUUAACUUUAAAAAAUCUUGUUUAGCGGGGUUCGAAGUGGAAGAAGAAUUAUUAUUUAGAUUGGCUGCCAUUUGCAAAUGUAAAAUAGGAUCUCUUCCUUUCAACUAUUUGAGGAUACCACUGGGAGCAAACCCGAAAAGAAUAGCUACAUCGGAACCCAUCAUAGACAAAGUCAGGAUGAAGUUAUUAGGAUGGAAAUGUCGUUCACUUACAUGGGUUGGUAAGGUCGUUCUUAUAAAUGCGGUGUUGUCUUCGUUGUUGAUAUACUUCAUGUCUCUAUUCCAAGCUCCGGUCACUAUUAUUAAAAAGAUCGACAAGAUUAGAAGGAAUUUCCUAUGGGGAAUUUGGAUGGGAAAAAGAAGAUAUUGAGAAUUAGAUGGAAUACUGUCUGUAAGCCAAAGGAUAAGGGUGGGGCAGGUGUGGCAAAUCUAGGUUUUAAAAAUAAAACUUUAUCGGCUAAAUGGAUCUGGAGAUUCGCGAUAGAAAAAGAGGCGUUAUGGAAAAAGAUUAUUUUAGCUAAAUACGGGCCAAAUGUUCAACAAUGGCCGUUUAAGAUAACUUAUCAAAAAGAUAUGCCAACUAUUCAGAGAGAUAUAGUUGAAAAUGCUAAAGAUGCUAAAAUGUCCAAAUGGGUGGGGUCGGAAUCUUUCUGUUGGAAGAUAGGGAAUGGUAAGUCGACUUUGUUUUGGUGGGACAUCUGGUGUGGGAAUCAACCAUUGAAAUUGUUGUUUCUAAGGCUCUUCCGCCUUGCUAAAAAUAAAGUAAGUACUAUAGCUGAUUCUUUAAGUUAAUCAGGGAAUGGUAGUGUUAAUUAGGAAGGCUGGUUUUCUAGACCUUUGUUGGGUAGGGAGAAGAGGAUGUGCAAAGAUAUGGUUGAUAAGGUAAGUGGCACGGUGUUGUUAUCGGAAGUAGAGGAUAGGUUGUGUUGGGUUAAUGAUAAAUGUAGGGUAUUCUUGGUUAAAAAAAUGUUCGGAUUUAUUGAUGUUGGAUGAUGAGGCGGAUGUUAAUUUUACUUGCAGUAGAGUUUGGAAUAUUAAGGUUCCCCCUAGAGUUUGUAGUUUUCUUUGGAUGUUCGCGAUUGACAGAAUUCCAUCUAAGGAAUUUCUGGCUAAAAGAGGAGUGAACACUCAAAAUUUUUCGAUAAGCUGCCCUAGGUGCGAAGGAGAAACAGAAAGUGCAUCACACCUGUUCUUCAAAUGAAGAUUUAUCGAAGGCCUUUGGGCUAAAAUCUUCAAUUGGUGGGAUGUUGUUUGGAAGAAGGUCGAUGGUGUUAUGGAUUACAUCGCUUUAUGUAAUAAUGUGAAAAUGGCUGAAAGUAAGAAAAGCUUAUGGUUAGCAAGAAAUGGGCUAGUUUUUUAUGGAAGGAGAGUACAUAUGGAAAAUUUGGUGUUUCAAUCUAAGAUGAGGGCUUUGUUGUUGAUUAGAUCAGUUCAUAAUGAAAUCAUGAUGCAACAGAAUUUUUGGUGGAUCUCUCCACAAAUAUGUCAAGUUGUGCCCUAUAAAUCUAAAUAUGUUGCUUCUUUUUCGAAGCCCCCUCCUCUUGGUUGGUUAAAAUUCAAUGUGUGUGGAAUCAGGAAAGAGGACAAAGCAGGGUUUGGAGGAGUUUUGAGAGAUAUGGAGGGGAUUGCAAAAGGGAUAUUCUCUGGUGCUGUUCAUAUAAAUGUUGUUGAAGAAGCUGAAAUUGGUUCUCCGGUGGCGUUUUCUUGGUGUAUUAACAAGUUUUUGAGACCUUGGUCAUUUCAUGCAAUUUUUUCAAAGAUUGAAAAUGUUAAGCUAAAAGUCAGAUCUGUCGUCUUCUCUUUAACGGAUUGGAAUGGCAAUGACAUGGCUUUCUCAUUGGCAUUGGCUAGUGUUAAACGGUCGCAAGUGUUUAAAGUUUGGUGGUGAUAUCUUGUUUUGUUAGUUGUUUUCUUGUGGUUGGGACUGUGCUCUUAACUUGAUUGCUGCUCUGUUUUGUCUCUGACAACAGAGUAGUUCGAAUGAAGCAAAAAAAAUGAUUAAUAGUAGAA